AGGAAUUAAAGUGGUUCACUCAACUCAAGGUAUACCAAAAGCUCUCUCAGUAUUAUAUAAAUUACUUCUCUGAAAAGCCUUUAGGUGCAAUAAGCUUAGAACAAAAAUGGAUGCACCCAUGUAUCAGGAGAUGAGUUAUGUUGAACAUGUGCAACGCAGACGCGAGGAAAAAGGAUGCAUUUAUGCUUGUUUGUUUGCAAUGUGUUGCUGCUUCUGUUGCUACGAGACUUGUGAGUGCUGUUUGGACAUGCUCUGCUGCAACUGUGCUUGAUGUCCUUCCUAGCCAUGUGAUGUCACGUAUGUUAUUGUUUGCAUUUCUGCUAACAAAAUACAAUUUGUUUCCCUCUCUUUAACUCUUUGUUUCUUCCACUUCUCUUUUGUUAUCUGCCGUUGUAUAUUUAAAACUGUGAAGUUGAAUAAACUUGUUAUGUAUUGAAUCUUA